rnacentral:lncRNA from 1 species
GGGGUUUGUCUCGGCUUGGUUGUAUUCAGUGAUUGUUUAAAUGAGAUGGUUUGGAGGGUUUUUUGGAUGAGAUGAGGGAUGUUAUCAAGGUUGAUGAACUUAUUGAAGGCCUGUUUUCGGCCGAGAUCAGAUCGAUUCAUUCACAAAAAUGCAGAUACCGGAGGCCAUCAAGAUGGGCUAUUGUGGUACAAAGACACAGGACAGCAUGUUAACGGUGAGUUCUCGAUGGCGGUGGUUCAAGCCAACAAUUUACUUGAAGAUCAAAGCCAGCUCGAGUCCGGUUGUUUGAGUACACACGAGUCAGGUCUCUAUGGCACUUUCGUUGGCGUAUAUGACGGUCAUGGGGGACCGGAGACUUCACGCUACGUCAACGAUCAUCUCUUUCAACAUCUCAAGCGUAAGACGCCUUGUACUUACUAAUUAGGAAAGUAGGCGAAAGGAAUUAGUUCGGUUAGCUUGUUAGAUGUUUGUUAUUCUGAUAUAUUUGUUAUGUUUCAGGGUUCACUUAUGAGCAACAGUCAAUGUCGGUUGAUGUAAUACGAAAAGCAUAUCAAGCAACAGAAGAGGGUUUUUCGUCUCUCGUUGCUAGACAAUGGCCUAUGACACCACAACUCGCGGCUGUUGGAUCAUGUUGCCUGGUCGGUGUUGUCUGUGGCACGAACCUUUAU